GAUGAACGCUAGCGGAAGGCAUAAUACAUGCAAGUCGAACGGAUGUAGCAAUACAUUAGUGGCGCACGGGUGCGUAACGCGUAUGCAACCUACCUUCAUCAGGGGGAUAACUACCCGAAAGGGUGGCUAACACCGCAUAAUACUAUUGAAUGGCAUCACUUGAUAUUUAAAUCUGAGGAGGAUGAAGAUGGGCAUGCGUCUGAUUAGCUAGUUGGUGUGGUAACGGCGCACCAAGGCGACGAGCAGUAGGGGAACUGAGAGGUUGGUCCCCCACACUGGCACUGAGAUACGGGCCAGACUCCCACGGGAGGCAGCAGUAGGGAAUAUUGGUCAAUGGUGGGAACACUGAACCAGCCAUUCCGCGUGCAGGAAGAAGGGUCUCUGACUUGUAAACUGCUUUAGCAAGGGAAGAAAAAGCUCAUGCGUGAGAAAUUGACGGUACCUUGAGAAUAAGCACCGGCUAACUACGUGCCAGCCGCCGCAGUAAGAC
rnacentral:rRNA from 1 species